GAUGAACGCUGGCGGCGUGCCUAAUACAUGCAAGUCGAGCGAACAGACGAGGCGCUUGCUCCUCUGACGUUAGCGGCGGACGGGUGAGUAACGCGUGGAUACCCUACCUAUCAGACUGGGAUCACUUCGGGACACCGGAGCUAAUACCGGAUAAUAUAUUGAACCGCAUGGUUCAAUAGUGAAAGACGGUUUUGCUGUCACUUAUAGAUGGAUCCGCGCCGCAUUAGCUAGUUGGUAAGGUAACGGCUUACCAAGGCAACGAUGCGUAUCCGACCUGAGAGGGUGAUCGGCCACACUGGAACUGAGACGCGGUCAAGACUCCUACGAGAGGCAGCAGUAGGGAAUCGUCCGCAAUGGGCGAAAGCUUGGCGGAGCAACGCCGCGUGAGUGAUGAAGGUCCUCGGAUCGUAAAACUCUGUUAUUAGGGAAGAACAACUGUGGAAGGAACUAUGGACGGCUUGACGGUACCUAAUCAGAAAGCCACGGCUAACUACGUG
rnacentral:rRNA from 1 species